rnacentral:lncRNA from 1 species
UAGGUCUAUUCUCAUCUUCCCUAACCUUACCCUUACCCUUCCUACUACUACUAGCCAUUAACAAUAGCGAAAAAAAUCAAAAAAGAAGUGAAGAAGGGAAGGAGAAAACGAAGGCCAACCUGGUAGUAAAAAGAAAUCUGAAAGAUCUCGAAAAUGCGGAGAAGAAGGUGAUCCCCUUCAAUGGUGCUCUCGACACUUAUGGGAGAAUUUUUAGAUUCUCAGAGUUGCAGAAGACCCAAAUAAAGGAAGAAAGCGACCUUUAUAUAGAACCCACCAACGACCGAGAUAAGUUCAUUCAAAUCAAGAUUCUCUUAGAUCCUAACAUGUGGCA